CGCCCCGGAGGCUCCGGAGCGGCCGCGCGGCUGUCUAGGAAACGGCGGCCUCUGCGGGCCGGGCAGUCGGCGGGAAUCGGGCAGGGGGCUGGGGGCUGGGGACUCGGCCGGCGCCAGGGCCUGAACGGAGCGCGCCGGUUUCGUGGCGUGGAUAUAUCUGCUUCUAAUGUGGCUGUAAUUGGCACGCUAUCCCAUACCAAAGCACCUUUUGAGCAGAAGAAAAAGAGGUGAACUAUAAAGUGAGAGCCAGUUUCAUCUCUACUCUGCAAUCUAGGAGAAAAACUUUCACCCAAGGACAGAUCAGGUGCUGUUUUUCAACCCUAAACUUUUGACCAAGAAUGAAACUAUUUAAAAGUUAAGAUGCCAACAGAUCAUGAAGAGCCCUGUGGUCCCAGUCAUAAGUCAUUUUGCCUGAAUGGAGGGAUUUGUUAUGUGAUACCUACUAUUCCCAGCCCAUUUUGUAGAUGCAUUGAAAAUUAUACAGGAGCUCGUUGUGAAGAGGUUUUUCUCCCAAGCUCCAGCAUCCAAACUAAAAGUGACCUGUUUGCAGCUUUCGUGGCAUUGGCUGUUCUUCUAGGAACUCUUAUCAUUGGAGCCCUCUACUUCCUUUGCAGGAAGGGUCACCUUCAGAGGGCCAGUUCGAUCCAGUAUGAUAUCAGCCUGGUAGAGACAAGCAGUACCAGUGUCCACCACAGUCAUGGAGAACACUGAAGAAAUAUCACAGUGAACCCAAAUCACUGCUUUUUUUUGUUACAAAGGCAGAAAAUUAAACAGCAAAAGGAUUUUCAUUAAGCAGACUCAUUCCCUUUCUACAAAUGAAAAAACCAAGUCAGUCAUCUAAAAUCUCAAUUUCAAAUCAAGAGGAUUUAGUCUUCUGUUUUCAUUAAAAUGGAAUUUAUGGUGGUGUUCAAAUGGGUUAGACUGGGCACAAAAUGACAAAAGUAGAUUUUUUUCUCAAAAAUUUCUGCAGAAUGCCUAGGAAAUUCUCAGAUCUGUAGAAGUUUAUUUUACAUUCUUUGCAUGUUCAUUGUGUUGUUUGUAAUAUAAAUUAGUGGCUAAACUCUUGCUGUUUGGCUUCUUACUAGGUUGAAAAGUUGUUUUAUUUACCAAUGAUGCAGAUUUAAGCAAAGUUGAGAAUUAAUUACAGUAGUGAACUGGCCUUCUGGACCCCCUUCAUUACUCUAGGUCACAGACUAUUAAUUAUAACAAUGUGUAGGGUGUCUGUUUUGAGAUCUUAAUUCCAAGCUUCCUUACUCUUUCUUUAUAUUGCUACUUGGCUUUUCAAGGAGUUUAUUCCUUUGAAGCAGCCUUUAACAAGGCAAAUAGUAGCUACAGAAAGAUUCUGCUUUGAAAGCACAUUAAGGAAAUCAACAUUUUUUAAACACCUUGAUUAAACUAUCCUAUCCUUGUCACUUGAUAGAAGACAGCUCAGUAUUGUAAAGAAAACAGUAAGGGUACACCUUCUCUUUUUGUGCUCAUGUCAGUUUUUUCAUGUGAUCAUUUUUCCAGUUUCACAAAUGACUAUAACAGUUGCCAUUUCUAGGAAUUUAGUAUGUUUUUAGCUGAAACAGUAACUUUUCCUUUAAUGCUCGCUUUUAAGACAAGCCUUUCAAAACUGUAAUAAAUUGUUUUAACUUUGGUUAAAUUACCACCCCCCCCCCACUUCCACAGAAAUGUCAAAGCCUCUGAGAGGUAGGGCCAAUAACUUUUGUUUUCAUCAGUACUACUCCUUCAACUCCUUCCCUUUCUAUUUUGCACCAGGGUUACAAUCUUGUGGCCAAAUGAAUUUAUUGUUCCUAAAGGCAAGCUCCAAAGUCUCAGCUAUAAAAAGUAGGCAUAUAUUAACCUUGAAUAUUGUAUGAAAUGACCUUGCAGCAGACUCUCCUUUGAGAAGUAAUAAAACAUUUUAUGUAUUAAUUUGAAAAAAAUAAAACAGUUCAUUCAACCAGGUGCAUUUUGUUCAUAUUUCCAUUUUCAAAAUCCUUUUUCCUCUACUGUUCAGUCAACUCUGGUUAAUAUCAAGGACAAAGAAAAUUUACAAAGCAUUUUCCUUAUAUGCUAUGUAAGCAUAACCAAGGACUUAAAUUUUGAGAUACUGUCUACUUGAUAAUGGAUACCAAUGUCAAAUAAUGGAAGAGUUAAUAAAAAUGGCUAAAUAUUAACAUUCACAGAUUAAAAGUUAUAUGGCAAUCAAACUUUUCUUUGGACUUUCUUCAGGAACUAAGAUUGAGUAUAACCAUAAAUUAAAGAAACUUUUAAGUAUUUUUAUCAUUCAUAUAAAUAAACAGCAAGAAAAAAUCUUUUGAAGUAAAAAUUGAUUUUAAAAAAGUGAUUAAAAAUAGAAAAGCAGGAAUGUUAAUAUAUUUGAUUUCACUUACCUUGCAACUUUUCUUCUAUCCCGUUAGAACCACUAUUACAAAAGUGCCAUAUAUUAUAUCAUACUCUAUUAGAAUAUGCUAAUACAGAUAUCCUGUAACAAAGACCUGGAAAAAAACAAGUGCCUUAGGCAAGAAUGAUGUUAAUUUCUGUCUUGUAAAACACUCUGGAGAUAGGCAGUCCAAAUCAGUACUGGUAGCACUUCAACAAAACUGUAUGGCAACCUAGGAUGGUUCUGUGUGGUUCUCUUCCACAAUAGAGCACUGCCUCUUCUGUAGAGUCUAAGAUGGCUCACAAUCAUAUCCACUUCUAAGCAAAAGGAUCGAAAAAAGGCAAAACAAACAAAACAAACAGUCACACUGUUUUAAAGGACACAUUAUCAUUUCCCUCACAUUUUACCAGCCAGAACAGUCAUACUUGCAAGGGAGACAAGGAUGUAGUCUUUAUUCUGGUGUGCAUGUGCCUAGCUGAAAAUCAAAGGUUUUAUGACUAUGUGAGAAGGAAAGAAUGGAUAUUGGGGGGAAACUGGUGUUCUCUGCACAGAUUUCAUUUUGAUAUUUACAUAAUGAGAAAUUUAAACCUGAAAAACAUUUUACUGGAAAUAUGCCAGGAUUUGCUAACUAACAAAUACCAUUAUUCUGGGUUUUCUUUUCUAAAGGAUUCCUUCAUUCACUCACUAAAAGCAAUGAAGUACACAGUUAUCUGAGUUUCCAAGGUAUGUUUUAUUGGUAUAAAACCAAAAUAAGGUGAUGUAAUUGUCUCAUCUGCCAAUUAGUUAUAUAGAAGUAGGUGAAAAAAAGAAUUUUCUGUUGCAAUUUUUUUAUUGAGGGAAAAGGAAAAUAUUUUUCCUUAUAAGGUAAUAAAAUACUGAUUAGUCUUGGCA